rnacentral:misc_RNA from 1 species
GAUGAAGAACGUAGCGAAAUGCGAUAAGUAAUGCGAAUUGCAGAAUUUCCGUGAGUCAUCGAAUCUUUGAACGCACAUUGCGCCCACUGGUAUUCCGGUGGGCAUGUCUGUUCGAGCGUCAUUAUCCUCCCUCAAACCCCGGGUUUGGUGUUGGACCCAAGUUGUGUGAACAACUGGUCUUAAAGACAAUGACGGCGUCCGUGGGACCCUCGGUGCAACGAGCUUUUAGGAGCACGCAUCGAGUUGCAAGGACCUUCCGGGCCGGUCUCCUUUACUAUUUUACAAGGUUGACCUCGGAUCAGGUAGGAAUACCCGCUGAACUUAAGCAUAUCAAUAAGCGGAGGA